UACAAACAAACGCCACAAAACCCUAGAACACUUGGAAGAAGUAGAAGAUCAAUCAUUAUAUAAAAAAUAAUCUGGAAGGUCAAACCACCUAGCUAUAUUGACCCAACAGUUGCGUAUGUAUCAAUAUCAUGUAUGUCGUGUUUUAAUCGAUCAAUGUACAUGAAGAGAUUAGGAACCUGAUAACUGUUGUUGAAGUUACCGUACGCGAAGUGAUGAUGCUUGUUUUACCAACUCCUUGAUCGCCAAGGAACACGAGUGUUAGACCAUAAUUAUUGGAGUCUCUUAACAGCGUAUUUUAAUUUAUUUAGGAAUAAAAAAAAAGAAAAUAGCAAUUAACAUAAGAGACGUGAGAGAGAGGCGAUGGAGGCACGAGGUAUACCGUAUACGGUGGAGAAAUCCCAGACGUCGGAGUUGGAUGGAUUGAUUGAUUUGGUGUUGGUAACAAUAGGAGUUGGAUGAGAUGAAGAAUCGAUUGAGGAUGAAGCUGCUGCUCUUCGUGAGAUGCAGGCCAAGGUUGAGAAGGAUAUGGGACCUCAAGUUCCUGUUACGAUAGCAGCAGAUCAAGCAGGCAAGGAGGAGGUGGAUGCUCGAUCUGUUUUUGUUGGCAAUUCACAGGGUCCACUUCAGCACAUUCAGUCUAUGUCUGGUUUGAAGGACAUAACCGAAAGCUCAAACAGCCGUGAGAGUUUCUCCAGUGGAACACAUCCUGGAAGAUGAAGAUCAGUUACUGGCUCCUGUCACCGUUUUGUUAACUUGUUACUCAAGGUUAGUCUUUUGUAUAUAAAGAGGCGAAAUCUAUGUAUUCGUUUUGGUGUUUUUCUGGCUCAUGCCAACUCUUAUGUAUAAUUAAGGGAAAGAUUAGAAGAAUCUGUAAAAUAUAAUUGAUCAUCUUUGUUCACUA